rnacentral:lncRNA from 1 species
AUCGUGAGUGGUGCUCUUGAGUCCCUUCAAGUGAUUACUACUUAGAUCUUCCCGGGGACACCUUCUUGAAAGGACCAGCGUGCAUCCACUUUGCUUAGAUAUAAUCCCAGAUCAGUGGAGGUGUUGCAAAGCAGACUUCACUUGUCUCACUAACACUGGAGCAGUUGAACAUCAGAUACCCAGAGUGACAUCAGGUUAAAAAAAAGCCUGCAAUUUGGAUCUUUUCCUGACUCGGAAGCAAGGAAAAUGGACAAUUGAUAAUCAAAGGUA